rnacentral:tRNA from 1 species
UCUAACGAGGUGUAUUAAGCAUACUACAUUUUGGUUGUAAUGGGGGCUAGCUGCCCGUUAGAG